UCAAGGAGGAUCCUGGGAAAUGUAGUAAAGAAGUGAUCCAGGCAGGAAGUGACACAGCAGGGAGACUCAUAUAUAAGCAAGGGAAGAAGGAAGUCAUCCCUUUUCCACUCUCUCUUCCUCCUGGUCUCUGCUCUGGAGUCGCCAUGUGAUCUGCCGGCAAGAGAGGGCACCAGUAGAAGGUGUCCUCUAUAAGGAACUCACGCCCGCAUUUCUGCACUCCAACGUGUGAGCAGAAGUGGAAGGGCACUCUGCCUGGAAGAAGACCAGCAUGAUCGGAACACCUGCUUUUGCCUAACCAGCCCUGCAACCUGAGGGAGAAAACCAACAGGCAAACAACCAAACAAAAACAAACUGGAAUAAAACAUGAAAAAUUGAACAGUUCCCACGUCUGAACCCCAAUCUCUUCUCCAAUCCCUGGCUUACGUUAUGCAGACUACUUCAUCAGAAAGACUUUGUGACGCACUGGACUGAAGGGCCUAUGCAAACAUUGUCCACUGCACUCCAGAUGCUGAACACCUGAGUGCGGAGACUUGUCACAUCCCAUCUGUACUUUUUCUUUGGUGUAGCUACCACCUUACCUGAAUAAUACAAAGUGUUGUCCUCCUCCCUCCUGGAAUUGCUUUACUCAGUGUGAGCUUUCGAGACAGUACAAAACAGGGGAGAGAGGAUUCAGUGUGUCACCCCGAAGCUCCAUGAAGUAUCCCCUGCAUUGAGAUCAACUCCUAACCAAGGAAGCACAGAGGGGAGGCAGGCAACCACCGAUUUCUGGAUGGAACUCAAGAAAAGCUUCCGCCUGGAUACCUGGGGUUUCUUGGAGCAAAGGACACAGCAACCUUUUCCAGAAGCCAGUGAGGCAGUGUGGGACUCUUUCAACUGAGAGAGGGCCAGAGCAGGCACUUUGAAAUUAGUAAUGUGAGUUGUGGUGAGAGCCCAUUAUUAAAAACUAAUCAGAAUUCUAAGAACUAAGGAAGGAAGGGAGGGAGGCAUCCACCAAGAUACACUUGCUACAAUCUGGGGUGGGGUACUUUCUGAGGCUUAUUAGAAGCAGGAUGUCUGAAGUAUCUUGCCAGUACUUCUGCCAGGUCAUGGGGUGCCAUCCAAAGGACCUCCCACUCUUACCCCUCUUCUCACCCCUUCCAGCACCAGAGAGAGAGAGAGAGAGAGAGAGAGAGAGAGAGAGAGAGAGAGAGAGAGGUGAAAAGAAGCUGACACUCACGGGGUGGUUAAAACACAAGUCAGAUACAGAGAAACCAACCACGAAGGCCCCACCUUUCCCAACCAUGAGCUCUUGCACAAGCAUCCAUGCUUAAGAGAAUGAAGAAGACUCGAUACAGAACCUCUUAGUUUGGGCUAAGAUCUUGAGUGGGCACUGGAGCACUAAAUCAAAACAGUGGCUGGGACUUAGAAUGACUUAAAAAGCCAGGAGUGCGUUUGCGUUGUUUUUAUUAGGGGCAUGAAAAGGUGGGCCUGCUGCAUAAAUUUUAAAGAGGUGACUGGAGAAAGCAAUAGAGGGUUGCUUUAAUUGCUUUUUCAAGCUGUGCUUUUUUUUGACCUGCAUUUUAUGGGUGUUCUUUCAUCUCUUAUAAGCAGCAAGGAGCAACGAUCUUUCAAAAUUACUUGGGCAUAAGAAAUGUUAAGCAUGUAUCAAUUGUAGGCCAUCCAUUAUCCUCCACUUAGGAUAUGAAAAUGUCCUUUGUGUUUUCCUGACUUUAGUGAGCCGCCUUGACUGUUAAUGAAAUGUGAGGAACAGCUGAC
ensembl:lncRNA